UCCGGCAAUAAUGGCGAGAAGGCCACACCCGUUUCCAUCCCGAACACGGAAGUUAAGCUUCUCAGCGCCGAUGGUAGUUGGGGGUUCCCCCUGCGAGAGUAGGACGUUGCCGGGC
rnacentral:rRNA from 1 species